AGAACUCCCUGCCACUGUUAAAAAUAAUGAAAUAAUUUCUAGGCUGGUGUCUGCGGCCUCAUUCAGAGGCAGAAGCUGAUUUUCAGCCAGAGUUUUACAGCUGAUGGGAAACCUGGGCAUUCUAACUUGCCAUCCCUAGACACACCUGCCCAACUGAAGCUGGGCUGUCCCAGUCAGGGCCACUGGGGGCGCUAGAGCAGUGCCAAGGAACUAGAGCAGAGGGUGAGUCCUGAGACAAGGUGGCCACUUGCUUGUGUUCCUGGUAACUGGGUUGUUUCUGUCCUGCAGACCUUGAGUAACUGGCUCUUCUCUGACCCUCCAGCCUUUACACUUGGCAUCAGAUGUCUAUUCCUGAGCUGUGUGCUAGGCAAGCAGAGUUGAUUGGGACUGGUACUAGAUUUCUUGCAGGGCUGGGGGACACAGGGGAAGAUUCAGUAAUCUCCUGAUUUGACCUUACCCUCUGCAGGUUUAGUCGUGGUAGCUCAAACUGUGCCAUGUUAGGGUACAGCAGUUCAUGGUCUCUGAAGACACAGGUUUGCAGUAUGCCUCUUCUCUGCAUCUGUGAGAUGGCAUCUUUCAGGUUUCCAGAUGGGAAUCACUCUUUACAUAAUCCAGGUGUUUAAGUCAAGAGCUUGCUGGGCCAUCUCCAUCCCUCUGAACUGGGGCCUGCAGUGCCCAGCAUUUCCUCACUGAGCAGUGCCUAGUCAAGUCCAGACCCCCAUCUGACACUUGUCACCAACUGCCUGCUUAAACCUUGGCCCAGCAACUGAUCUGUUCCUGGUAAAAAAGUGAAGAAAUUUCUAGAAGGUGCUGUGAAUACCAUGACCAAGAACCUACUCUGAUGCCAUGGGAGUAGGGGCAGGAAGGAGGGCACUCUGGGCUGACUGGAUGAGGGCUGUCCAGAGGCAGCCUGGCAGUUUGAUUGAAAUUGGUUUAAAUAAUU